rnacentral:rRNA from 1 species
GUACACUCCUACGGGAGGCAGCAGUGGGGAAUAUUGGACAAUGGGCGCAAGCCUGAUCCAGCCAUGCCGCGUGAGUGAUGAAGGCCCUAGGGUUGUAAAGCUCUUUUGUGCGGGAAGAUAAUGACGGUACCGCAAGAAUAAGCCCCGGCUAACUUCGUGCCAGCAGCCGCGGUAAUACGAAGGGGGCUAGCGUUGCUCGGAAUCACUGGGCGUAAAGGGUGCGUAGGCGGGUCUUUAAGUCAGGGGUGAAAGCCUGGAGCUCAACUCCAGAACUGCCUUUGAUACUGAAGAUCUUGAGUUCGGGAGGGGUGAGUGGAACUGCGAGUGUAGAGGUGAAAUUCGUAGAUAUUCGCAAGAACACCAGUGGCGAAGGCGGCUCACUGGCCCGAUACUGACGCUGAGGCACGAAAGCGUGGGGAGCAAACAGGAUUAGAAACCCGAGUAGUCCCAUGA